GAUGAACGCUGGCGGCGUGCUUAGCACAUGCAAGUCGAGCGAAGCAUUUGCAGUUGAUUUCUUCGGAUUGAUUCUGUUUAUGACUGAGCGGCGACGGGUGAGGUAACGCGUGGGAACCUGCCUCAUACAGGGGGAUAACAGUUAGAAAUGACUGCUAAUACCGCAUAAGCGCACAGUGCCGCAUGGCGCCGUGUGAAAAACUCCGGUGAUAUGAGAUGGACCCGCGUCUGAUUAGCUAGUUGGCGGGGUAACGGCUCACCAAGGCGACGAUCAGUAGCCGGACUGAGAGGUUGGCCGGCCACAUUGGGACUGAGACACGGCCCAG
rnacentral:rRNA from 1 species